UAGCGCCCUCUAGCAUAACGCAUCUUUCUUCCAACAACUUUGAUUAACGAAAUAAAACCCAGGUGAAAUAAAACCAUGAUUAAAACAAAUAAACAUGGCGCCCCCGCCAUAUGUACGGUAUGUUAUAUGUGUUGGGGCGCGACGGUCACGCGCAGCGGAGCUUAUGGUUGCGUGCGUUGCAAGGCAAUGGUCACACUCGGAUCAAGCUAACGUAACAUCAGUGCAAACUCUGGUGCAAAGGAACGAAGAAAAGCAGCAGGAGGAGAAGAAAGCCCUGUAAAGAGCUGCAGGUGAAGAGACAUGUAGGACCACACCUAGCACAGCAGCCGGUGAAACAGAGCAUGCAGCAGGUGAAGGAGCAACAGACACAACUCGCCCUGAUUCUGCACUACAGCCUGCAGACACUUUCUCCCCCACAACAAGUUCUGAUGUCCAU